rnacentral:lncRNA from 1 species
UAAAGGCAUGAACUACCAUUACCUGGCUCUGUGUCAGAUUUUUUGAUCUAACAUGUUUCAGUGAUUUUUUUUAUAAAUAAUUUUAGUACUAUGAAAAAUUAUCCAUUGUGAUAAAUACAGAUGAGAUGUAUAUUUUUCUCUUUAGGGAAAAUCAUGCCUAUCAUUAGCAAAAGUUUGAAAAUUGUGAUUCUUAACAUAAUACUGGGUAUAUGACAAUGGCAGUUAAAAAAAAGUCAUAAUAGAGAGACCAUGGAGAAAGAGACAAAGCUUAAAACAUUAGUAGGUUGGUAACUUACCCUUCCUUUAGCCUGUCUCACUGGUAAUUGUCUAUAGUCUCAAAUUAAAUUAACAGUGGACAAUUCCUCAAACAGAGCUUUGAGGAUGUAAAACAGGCCUUGAGGCCUUUUAACUGUGGUAAGAAGGUGUUGGUAUUACAUAACAUAACCUGAGGUUGGAGAGGACCACAUGGGAGCCUGUAACCAAAGCUAGAAAGUAACUUCUGGGAUGGAAGGAGGUUCCCUUGAAGCAGUGCUAACGCAAAUCUACCUCAGGUAAGUAGUCAGAGUAACUUUUUCAAGAUUUCAGACCAAAUGAAAUAAAUUAUAUUCCAUCCAUGUACACCUCUAUGCUUAUUGUUUCUGUUUACCUUUAAUUCUUAAAUAAAUAUUUGUUCUGAAAAAA